rnacentral:rRNA from 1 species
AUGGCGGCAGUAGCAGGAGCUCUUCUCCCGCCGCUGCUACCGACGCCGCCCAGGAGCGAGAUGCUGCCGAUCCUCCCGACGCCGCCCAAGAGCAAGAUGCUGCCGCUGUUGCCGACGCCGCACGGUGUCUCGGGCAGCGAGAGCACCGGUCGUGCCGACUCCGUUGACAGGUGGGACUCGGAAAGAAAUACAGUGUCGUCGUCGUCGUCCUCCUCCUCCUCCUCUUACAGCGCCGGGAGUCCCGGACGAGCCGACUCCGUUGAACGCUGGGACAGCAAGAAACUCGCGAGCUCAUGCAGCGCGUCCCAGCCCACAUGUCGCGGCCGCCAUGACGGCAACACCAAGCGCCUGCCUAGCCCUGGCCCUGGCCGCGCGUCCUCAGCAGAGCGCUGGGACUUGCACAAGAAGAAGGCCGUGUUCGCCGGGCCCUGCUUCUACGCCUCGCCGGACCCGAGCAUGCUCCCCAUGCCCUCCUUCUUUCUGCGCGCACAUUAG